UACGUAGGUGGCAAGCGUUGUCCGGAUUUACUGGGCGUAAAGAGCGCGCAGGCGGUCGUUCAAGUCGCGUGUGAAAGCCCCCGGCUCAACUGGGGAGGGUCACGCGAUACUGAUCGACUCGAAGGCAGGAGAGGGUAGUGGAAUUCCCGGUGUAGUGGUGAAAUGCGUAGAUAUCCGCAGGAAUACCAGUGGCGAAGGCGGCACUCUGGGUUGUACCUGACGCUGAGGCGCGAAGGCUAGGGGAGCGAACAGG
rnacentral:rRNA from 1 species